ensembl:lncRNA
GAACCAUUCUGUCACUCAGUGCGUGGCAUUGGGGGUGAUGAAUGGUACGAACAGGGCCAGCUAAACUCACAAAGGAAGAAGUAAACAUGUCUCUUCUCUCUUAACUCCCACAUCCCACCUCACGCGCAGCAGAUUCAUCUCAGCUCCCACAUCCAUAUACUUCAGAUCCCUCUCAGCUCCCACAUCCAGGUGCUUCAGAUCCCUCUCAGCUCCCACAUCCAGGUGCUUCAGCUCCCACAUCCAGGUGCUUCAGCUCCCUCUCAGCUCCCACAUCCAGGUGCUUCAGCUCCCACAUCCAGGUGCUUCAGCUCCCUCUCAGCUCCCA